AUAUAUGAGAAUCUGUUUUUAAAUGGGGAUAGAUUACUCUUGAACAAAAUGAUCCUGUAUAGUUUUCACUUCAAGUGAAGAGUCUUGC
rnacentral:pre_miRNA from 1 species